rnacentral:sRNA from 1 species
UCUUAGCCCCGAUUGUAGAGGCUACCAUGUAGCCCGGAAAGCGGGAAUACGG